rnacentral:misc_RNA from 1 species
CCCUGCCAUGUCUUUAUCCUAACACCGGUUAAUGUGUUUUGCAUUGCAACAUCCCGGAUGGUGACGUUUGAAACACAGGCUUUGGUGUUGUCUUUUCCAAGCCCUCCAAUGCUAAUGCCAUGUCCAGGUCCACAAUUUACAUUGUGUAUGUAAACAUUUGAGCAUCCGCUUUGAAUAGAUACACAGUCAUCCCCUGUGAAGUCAGUAGGAUAAGAAAUUAAUAUCUUAUCUGAUUUGAUGCAUGUGGACACGAA